rnacentral:rRNA from 1 species
AUCAACUUUCGAUGGUAGGAUAGAGGCCUACCNUGGUGGUAACGGGUAACGGGGUGUUAGGGCACGACACCGGAGAGGGAGCCUGAGAAACGGCUACCACAUCCAAGGAUGGCAGCAGGCGCGCAAAUUACCCAAUCCCGACACGGGGAGGUAGUGACAAUAAAUAACAAUACGGGGUUCUUUAGGAUCUCGUAAUUGGAAUGAAUACAAUUUAAAUCUCUUAACGAGGAACAAUUGGAGGGCAAGUCUGGUGCCAGCAGCCGCGGUAAUUCCAGCUCCAAUAGCGUAUAUUAAAGUUGUUGCAGUUAAAAAGCUCGUAGUUGAAUUUCGGGGUUAGUAGGUUGGUCAUGCCUCUGGUAUGUACUGAUCUCACUGAUUCCUCCUUCCUUAUGAACCGUAAUGCCAUUAAUUUGGUGUUGCGGGGAAUUUGGACUGUUACUUUGAAAAAAUUAGAGUGUUUAAAGCAGGCUAACGCUUGAAUACAUUAGCAUGGAAUAAUGAAAUAGGACGUUCGAUCUUAUUUUGUUGGUUUCUAGGAUUGACGUAAUGAUUAAUAGGGAUAGUUGGGGGCAUUAGUAUUCAAUUGUCAGAGGUGAAAUUCUUGGAUUUAUUGAAGACUAACUACUGCGAAAGCAUUUGCCAAGGAUGUUUUCAUUAAUCAAGAACGAAAGUUAGGGGAUCGAAGACGAUCAGAUACCGUCGUAGUCUUAACCAUAAACUAUGCCGACUAGGGAUCGGAUGAUGUUAAUUUUUUAAUGACUCAUUCGGCGCCUUACGGGAAACCAAAGNGUUNGG